UACAGAGGUCUCAACCGUUGUUCGGAUUCAUUGGGCGUAAAGGGUGCGUAGGCGGUCGCGUAAGUCGGAUGUGAAAUCCCAGGGCUCAACCCUGGAACUGCAUUCGAUACUGCGUGGCUAGGGUACUGGAGAGGAGACUGGAAUUCCUGGUGUAGCGGUGAAAUGCGCAGAUAUCAGGAGGAACACCGGUGGCGAAGGCGGGUCUCUGGGCCGUAACUGACGCUGAGGCGCGACAGCGUGGGGGAGCAAACAGG
rnacentral:rRNA from 1 species